rnacentral:rRNA from 1 species
AACGAACGCUGGCGGCAUGCCUAACACAUGCAAGUCGAACGGGUGGUAGCAAUACCACCAGUGGCAGACGGGUGCGUAACACGUGGGAACCUGCCCAGAGGUUCGGAAUAGCUGCGGGAAACUGCAGGUAAUACCGAAUGUUGCCUGAGGGCUAAAGGAGCAAUUCGCCUUUGGAGGGCCGCGUCGGAUUAGUCUAGUUGGUGGGUAACGGCGUCACCAAGGCGACGAUCCGUAGCNGGUCUGAGAGGAUGGCCAGCCACACUGGAACUGAGACACGGUCCA